rnacentral:lncRNA from 1 species
AUCAUUAUCCUUUUUAUCCCACUUACUCCAACCAAUCAUUAUCCUGUUUUAUCACUCAUUAUCUUCUUAUCCCACCUACUCCAACCAAUCAUUAUCCUUCUUUAUCAAUCAUUAUCUUUUUAUCCCACCUAUACCAACCAAACACUAUUUCUCAUUAUUCUAGCCUAACUCUAACCCCGAACCAAACACAAAAAAACUUUAACCCCACUUUAACCCUUAACUUAACCCUAUCUCUGGAAUAUCUACUUUUUCCUUAACCCCGAACCAAACGGAGGCUUAUUAAAAAUUAUUUUGAGGAAAGGUGUUUGGGAAUUUAAAAAUUUUUCUUUGAGAGAGGAGAUGAUUGAGAAUUAUUAUUUUGAGGAGAGAAAUUUUUCAAAGUUGUUUAAACGGUGUUUAACUUCAUAAUCAUAUUAAGUUAAAUUCAUAUUAAUUAUCGUUUUUGCUCCACUUUUUAUUAUUUUGACGAUAAUUUAAUAUAUGAUUUCUCAAUACAUAUAUUUAUCAAAAUUUUGAAAUCAAAUUUGAUCUCUUGGUGAUUAAUCUAUCUCGGUUGUGUGAGUUGAAUAUGAUAGAUGGAUAUUCGCUAAUAAACUAAAAUUUGUCAAAAUAUUUUCAAUUGUGAGAUUGUCUAAUUUAGGGGGAGUUUGAUUUUAUUUAAAAAAAAAGGAAAAAUACUCCUAUGUUUAAAAAGAUGUGGAAAGAGUUACAUCUAAAAGGAGUGUGAAAACUACCACCACAUGUAGGAAAGAGGUACCACCCCGGUCGUCCGGCAAGUGUAUGAAGCUACCACAUGAAAAUUGAAUUGAUUAACCGAAAAAGGUUGAAAAAAAAAUGAAUAUUUUAGAAUUUUCGGAGUAAUAAGGUGUUAGUUUGAAAAAGAUGCUCAAAGAGCCACCCCCGGUAUCAUAUUAGUUAAAUCUCUAUUUUGAACGCGUUACGACAAAUUGGUGUCAAUUUUUGUUGAAUUUCUAAAAAUUAUUUUUCAUCAACUUACAUCUUGAUGAUUUUGAAUCUUGAAAUCAUUUUUGAUAAUGAAAUUUUGAUGUUUCGAUGUGUUUUGAAAUUUUAUAAUAUUUUAUUUUCAUUAUAAUGAGUCUUUGAGUAAAAGCCUUAAUUUAUAUGAAAUUAAUUUAAAUUUGAUGGAUUUUUUAAGAAAAUUUUCGAAAUCUGAGAUCGUGUACCAGUACACAAUCCAGUACCGGUACGGGUAUUGUAGCCGUGGAUAUAUAUCCGGUUACAGAGCUUUUGUUCUUUCUCUAAUCUGAACCAAAAUUCGUUUUCUCUCUCUCUAAAAAUCCCUGGUGCCUUCUUCUUCCAGAUCUACACGAUUUUUCGCAAAAAUUUGUCAGUAUUUAGUUUGGAUUUAAUCGUUUCAUCGCGUUCAUGUUUAUUUUUCGAAAAUAUUCCGAGUUGAAGCUAGAUCUCUGUUUUUGAUCGUUUUUUAUGCAAUUUUUUGCUGUAGAUCAGUGCUUAAGGACAUUAUCUUACUUCUAGAACACUUGAAUCACAUCAAAACACAUUAUUUUUCGCUGAUCCAUGUUCUAAGCUUCAUUUUUCAUGUAAUUUUGGGAUUUUUGUAGGAACUUAGGUUGAGUAAAGGCUUGGACCUAGAUAGGUCGAUACUUUAGGGUGAGACCAACCCUUGAUAUAUGUAAAGUGGAUUCCAGAAUCCUUGCUGCUAGUGCAGCGGCUGCUAGUGCAGCAUACAAGCUCGAUAGUUCUUGGCCGCGGGUGCAUGUGGCAUGUUCCUCUCCCACCGGAAGAACUUCGAGGCUUGUUAUUGAGCAAGAAUCAUGAGCGCUAAGGUGCAUGUGCCAUGUUCCUCUCCCUAUCGGGGAUCUCGGCUCCGGGUGUAUGCGGCAUGUUCCUCUCCCACCGGGGGAUCCCUGACCACGGGUGUACGCAGCUCUGGGCGACCCGUUGGGCGAUGUGGUUUGUGGAUUGAUGGCUGAGGUGCAUGUGAUUGUUCCUUCACCUCGAGCCUGACAAAGCGCGGAUUAUCCGCAUAUGAUUGACUCAAGACCGAGUCGAGUGGCAUAGCUGGCUAAUGUAAAGUAACCUUAGGUAAGAGUGGUAAUGUGUAUAAUAUGGCUAAGGUGUGAGUACCCUUAGAAUAAAGAAUAAAGAAUAAAGAAGGGCUAAUGCUAAAGAUUGGCAAGUAAUAAAGAAUAAAGAAAGGCAAAUGUUAAAGAAUAGCUAGUAAAGUAAAGAAUGGCUAAGAGUAAAGAAUGGAUAAGAAUAAAGCGUAGAAGCAAUUAAUCUACUUAUGUGAAUUGCAUAAUGUGCAUGAUGCAUGUUGUGAGGCAAAAUGAUGGUAACGUUAGUUGCAUGAUUUAUGAUUUUAUAUCUAUCUAUUGGACUAACAUAUUGUUUGCCUCCUUUGGACCUGAUGGUCAAGCUCUUCCCUUAGGUGGUCGUACCCACUGGGAACCAUGGAGUUGGUUCUCACCCCACGUUGUUUUGGGGUGUUACAGGUUCGCACGUGAGUGGCGCGGCGGCGCGAGGCAAGGGCAUAGCUCCGUAGUUAGCGCCCUACCACCGAGACCAGAUAGUGGUACCCCGAGUCGGCAUAGCCUAGGGGUAGAGGAAAAUAAAAGAACAAGAUGUAUCAAACUUGUAAUAAAUUUGUAAUAAUUAGGUUGUAUUUGGAAGUUGAAUGUAAAAGAAUGUAAUUCGUAAUGUAAAAUAUAAUAUGUGAGAUGAAUGCUUAUAAUAGCAAGUAGAUUUAUGUUUUUGAUACUUCCUUAUGCAAUCUUUGGUUGAAAUGUGUUUCUUGUUGGAACUUCGUACAUUGUAUUGAUUGCGACGCCUUGAACGUACAGGGGAGACUCUGUCCGCGGUUCAAGGGAAACCCUGUCCGUUCGGCGGUCUGUUGGCGUGCCCAAAACCAACCAAAGAGGCGGGCUCGGGGCGGGACAGAUAAGAUGGUAUCAGAGCAUAAAAAGAACAUAAAAGAGU